rnacentral:misc_RNA from 1 species
GAGGGAAGCAGGCUUUAUACCCGAAGUAACCUUCUUGAAUAUUUGGGCAGAAUUUUUGCACUCAUUAUAUGGGUAUUCACAAGUAACAAUUUCCAACAUGCACAUGCCAAAAGAAUAUAUGUCAAUAAGUUCAUUGUAGUCUUCAUCAUAAAGUUCUGGAGCCAUGAACUCUGGAGUGCCAAUUACACUUCGAGCAGUAGGCUGCUG